CUCCUAAGGAGACACAGACUCAGGGCCUGGCCCUCUCCCUCUACAAUGUGCCCCUGAGAACCCUCAUAGUGUGGACGGCGGGGCCCUGCACGGACAGUGUCUACAUGUUCCCUCCGCCUAGAGAGAUGGUCCCCAAAUGCCUGCUCUCCACAUAAGCAACAUGGCAAUGACAUUGCAUACAUGUCCUUCAAAAUGCC